ensembl:lncRNA
AUCGACUGAGUGUGUGUGCACACACACACACACACAUGCACACACACUACAUGAACACAAACCAGCGAUUACUUGUUGCCUACUUCAAUAUCGAUUCUCCUUUCUUUCUUAGUAAAAGAACCUGACAUUUAGCCAGGCACAUAGUCUCCAAGUUAAAGGGCUAUAUUUAAAGUCUCUCUUAUAGCUGCUGCUGCUGCUGCUAAGUCACUUCAGUCGUGUCCGACUCUGUGUGACCCCAUGGACGGCAGCCCACUGGGCUCCCCGUCCCUGGGAUUCUCCAGGCAAGAACACUGGAGUGGGUUGCCAUUUCCUUCUCCAGUGCAUGAAAGGGAAAAGUGAAAGGGAAGUUGCUCAGUCCUGUCCGACUCUCAGCGACCCCAUGGACUGCAAUCCACCAGGCUCCUCCAUCCAUGGGAUUCUCUAGGCAAGAGUUCUGGAGUGCUUAUAGCUAGUUAUGGUCAUAUGAUUUAUUGGUUUCUAGUCAAUGACACAUAAAUAAAAUAAUAAGUGGGACUUCUAGGAAUUCUCUUUAAAAGUGACACAGUGUACCUCUCUUUUUCCAUCCUGUUGACUGGAACUCACAUGUUAUGGCUGGAGCUUCAGCAGACAUUCUGGACCAUGAGAAUAGUGAAGAGGGGAACCUGAAGAAGCAUAGGUCCUUGGUUUGAGUCAGUUCUGGAUGAUGCUGAAAGUGCCUCUGUAGAGCCCACCCGUGCUCGAGGAGAGGAAAUAAUCAAGCUCAGAGUUGCAACCGCACCUGAAGACACUUGGACCAGAAGAGGUAGCAAUGUACCCUUUGGCCAUGACAGACACACAGCAUGCUGGUGCUCCUCCAUGUCAUCAUUUAGAUUUGCUUCAGCAAAAAAGAAUCCUGGAUCCUUUGCUUCUUUGAAAAUCAAUUGCCAGAAUGACUUGUACAUCUAAAAGUUGUGAUUAUGUCUCUCCAGUGUCUUGGGAAAUUCAAUGUUUUGAGUUCAAGAGAUCAGACUGCCUGCUGAGAAUCAAGCAUUCAGCAUCCCAUGAAAGCACUUGAUACUUUGAACCACUUCUUCACAACUUUACAUCCGUUUCACAGACAGCCAAAGGUCCCUGACUCCUCCUAGAGCUCCCAGGGACUCUUGAGAGGUU